UAAUACGUAGGGGGCGAGCGUUGUCCGGAUUUAUUGGGCGUAAAGAGCGUGUAGGCGGCUUGGUAGGUCUGCUGUGAAAACUCGGGGCUCAACCCCGAGACGUCGGUGGAAACCACCUGGCUAGAGUCCGGAAGAGGAGAGUGGAAUUCCUGGUGUAGCGGUGAAAUGCGCAGAUAUCAGGAAGAAUAUCCGUGGCGAAGGCGGCUCUCUGGGACGGUACUGACGCUGAGACGCGAAAGCGUGGGGAGCGAACAGGAUUAGAUACCCUGGUAGUCCACGCCGUAAACGAUGGGCACUAGGUGUGGGAGGUGUCGACUCCUCCCGUGCCGUCGCUAACGCACUAAGUGCCCCGCCUGGGGAGUACGGCCGCAAGGCUA
rnacentral:rRNA from 1 species